GGGCACAUGGUGUAGUUGGUUUAUCACGCCCGCUUAGCAUCUGUGUUGUGUAUGCGGGAGGUGUUGGGUUCAAUUCCCAAUGUGUCCA